GACGAACGCUGGCGGCGUGCUUAACACAUGCAAGUCGAACGAUGAACCGGAGCUUGCUCUGGGGAUUAGUGGCGAACGGGUGAGUAACACGUGGGCAACCUGCCCCAGACACCGGGAUAACCAUUGGAAACGAUGGCUAAUACCGGAUACGACCACUUCGGGCAUCCGAUGGUGGUGGAAAGGAUUCUGGUCUGGGAUGGGCCCGCGGCCUAUCAGCUUGUUGGUGGGGUAAUGGCCUACCAAGGCGACGACGGGUAGCCGGCCUGAGAGGGCGACCGGCCACACUGGGACUGAGACACGGCCCAGACUCCUACGGGAGGCAGCAGUGGGGAAUAUUGCGCAAUGGGCGAAAGCCUGACGCAGCGACGCCGCGUGAGGGACGAAGGUCUUCGGAUUGUAAACCUCUUUCAGCAGGGAUGAAGCGAAAGUGACAGUACCUGGAGAAGAAGCACCGGCUAACUACGUGCCAGCAGCCGCAGUAACAC
rnacentral:rRNA from 1 species